UACGUAGGGUGCGAGCGUUAAUCGGAAUUACUGGGCGUAAAGCGUGCGCAGGCGGUUUUGUAAGCCAGAUGUGAAAGCCCCGGGCUCAACCUGGGAAUGGCAUUUGGGACUGCAAGGCUUGAGUGCGGCAGAGGAGACUGGAAUUCCUGGUGUAGCAGUGAAAUGCGUAGAUAUGUGGAGGAACACCGAUGGCGAAGGCAGCCCCCUGGGUUAACACUGACGCUCAUGCACGAAAGCGUGGGGAGCAAACAGG
rnacentral:rRNA from 1 species